rnacentral:rRNA from 1 species
CCUACGGGAGGCAGCAGUGAGGAAUAUUGGUCAAUGGGCGAGAGCCUGAACCAGCCAAGUCGCGUGAAGGAUGACGGCCCUACGGGUUGUAAACUUCUUUUGUCAGGGAGCAAUUGAGUCCACGUGUGGGCUUAGCGAGAGUACCUGAAGAAAAGGCAUCGGCUAACUCCGUGCCAGCAGCCGCGGUAAUAGGGAGGAUGCGAGCGUUAUCCGGAUUUAUCGGGUUUAAGGGGUGCGUAGGCGGAAUAUCAAGUCAGCGGUAAAAAUUCGGGGCUCAACCCCGUCGUGCCGUUGAAACUGAUGUUGUUGAGUAGGCGAGAGGUAUGCGGAAUGCGUGGUGUAGCGGUGAAAUGCGGAGAUAUCACGCAGAACUCCGAUUGCGAAGGCAGCAUACCGGCGCCCAACUGACGCUGAGGCACGAAAGCGUGGGUAGCGAACAGGAUUAGAUACCCGGGUAGUC